rnacentral:rRNA from 1 species
CCUACGGGUGGCAGCAGUGAGGAAUAUUGGUCAAUGGUCGGGAGACUGAACCAGCCAAGCCGCGUGAGGGAUGAAGGUACAGAGUAUCGUAAACCUCUUUUGUCAGGGAACAAAGGCGGGGACGUGUCCCCGGAUGAGUGUACCUGAAGAAAAAGCAUCGGCUAACUCCGUGCCAGCAGCCGCGGUAAUACGGAGGAUGCGAGCGUUAUCCGGAUUUAUUGGGUUUAAAGGGAGCGUAGGUGGAUUGUUAAGUCAGUUGUGAAAGUUUGCGGCUCAACCGUAAAAUUGCAGUUGAAACUGGCAGUCUUGAGUACAGUAGAGGUGGGCGGAAUUCGUGGUGUAGCGGUGAAAUGCUUAGAUAUCACGAAGAACUCCGAUUGCGAAGGCAGCUCACUGGACUGCAACUGACACUGAGGCUCGAAAGUGUGGGUAUCAAACAGGAUUAGAUACCCCUGUAGUC